rnacentral:lncRNA from 1 species
AGAAUUCAGGCCAACAAAACUCCAUCUGUGAAUUCCUUCUUCUCCUUAGCCUGCAAAUAUGUUAAAGACCCAGCCAACCAGCCAGCCAGCCAACCAGCAAAAAGCCCAACAAAGCAAAAGAAAGAAAGAGAUUUAUUUAUUUAUUUUAUUUAUGUGAGCACACUGCCGCUGUCUUCAGACACACCACAAGAGAGCAUCGGAUCCCACUACAGAUGGUUGUGAGCCACCAUGUGGUUACUGAGAAUUGAACUCAGGACCUCUGGAAGAGCACCCAGUGCUCUUAACCACUGAGCCAUCUCUCCAGCCCCACCCUGACCCCCACUUCAUGUAUUUUGUCCAUUAAUCCAUUGCUGUUUUGGAUGGAUUCUCAAAGGAUCAGGUCCUUGGUGUGAUGAUGGUGAGAGAGGAUGGGCCUUCAGAGCUGAUUAUAUCUUGAAGGUGGAUUAAUACUUUUCUCCAAGAUCACAUUCUUCUUGUUGUGAGAUGUUACAUAGGAGCUGACUGUUAGAGACAAGUCAUCCCAUGUGUUUGGCCCAUUUUAUAUGUUCCUUGGUUUAUCAUAUGCUUUUCUUUCAAGUGGUCACACAGUGUGUGUGUGUGUGUGUGUGUGUGUGUGUGUGUGUGUGUGUGUGUUGGAACCAUGCUUUUUGGAUCUUCCAGU